rnacentral:rRNA from 1 species
CCUACGGGAGGCAGCAGUAGGGAAUCUUUCACAAUGGGCGAAAGCCUGAUGGAGCAACGCCGCGUGCAGGAUGAAGGCCUUCGGGUUGUAAACUGCUUUUAUAAGCGAGAAAUAUGAUGGUAACUUAUGAAUAAGGAUCGGCUAACUACGUGCCAGCAGCCGCGGUCAUACGUAGGAUCCGAGCAUUAUCCGGAGUGACUGGGUGUAAAGAGUUGCGUAGGUGGCAUAAUAAGUAGCUAGUGAAAUCGGGUGGCUCAACCAUUCAGACUAUUAGCUAAACUGUUAAGCUCGAGACCGUUAGGGGUAACUGGAAUUUCUGGUGUAGGAGUGAAAUCCGUAGAUAUUAGAAGGAACACCAAUAGCGUAGGCAGGUUACUGGGACGGUUCUGACACUAAGGCACGAAAGCGUAGGGAGCAAACGGGAUUAGAUACCCCAGUAGUC